AGUAUAAAUGAUAUGAAAAAAACUCGAAAGCUCCAUUAUAUAAACAAACAAUGGAUCACAUUUCUAACACCAAAAAUUGACCCCCCUUCAUUUGGAGUCAACGCACAUAUCUUGAUUCAAACUCAAUCAUCUUGAAGAAGAAUUCAUUGCUGUUCCCAGGUUGUGAUCUUGACAACAACAAGCACUGAACAUGGCGGACAUGAUAUUUUUGAAACUUGAAAAUGGAAAGAUCAUAAAAAUCGAAGGUGACAACGCAAUACCUUGGUUCGUGACACAAGAAUUACGGAAACAUGAAGGUUCACAAACUGUUAGAAAUGUAUACAACAGGAUCGGUUUGGUUGAACCAAAUCCUCGUGUUAGGGACAUGAUUAUGGCUCGACUGUUUUUUACCCCUAACUGCGUACGAUUUUUCACGGGGGUCGAGUUAAUGCCUGACCAGAUGUUUGCAUCGUUUGUUAGAUUCCUGAAGGAUCAUCUCGCUUACUUGUUAUUUCCCAUGGCACCAGUAUUCGAUCGUAAUGGAGAAUCUUCAUUCGGAUUAGGGUUUGGUGGUGCAUUGCUGAGAGCACUGUAUCAUGUACCAAAGGGACAGUCCACAUAUUGGAGUAAAGAUUUGGGUGAUUUUGUUUGAUCAAGUAUUUUGGGGAAAAUAUAUGUUUUGGAAGUUUGGAUCUAAGCAUCUAGAUAUUUCAUUCAGGAUAAAUAGUGAAUAUAGAUAGUUGGAGUGUAAAGUUUUGUUAGAUUGUACUGGCUUAAUAAUAGCAUGUUGGAACAUCAUAACGAUGUUAGUUAGAUGGAUCUAGAGAUAAUACUUUGGGGAAAUAUAUGUUUUUGGGAAAUUAGAUGGAUCCAUUUCAGGUUUAGUAGUUGGAAAUACUUUGUUGAAGUGUAAAGUUUUGUUAAUAAUAAUGAUUGUAUUGAA